CCCUUAGAUGUCCUGGGCCGCACGCGCGCUACACUGAUGCAUUCAACGAGCUUUACCUUGGCCGAGAGGCCUGGGCAAUCUUUUAAACCUGCAUCGUGAUAGGGAUAGAUUAUUGCAAUUAUUAAUCUUGAACGAGGAAUUCCUAGUAAACGCAGAUCAUCAAUCUGCAUUGAUUACGUCCCUGCCCUUUGUACACACCGCCCGUCGCACCUACCGAUUGGAUGGUCCGGUGAAGCCUCGGGAUUGUGGUUCUUGCCGCUUUAUUGUGGCGUGACCGCGAGAACUUGUCUAAACCUUAUCAUCUAGAGGAAGGUGAAGUCGUAACA
rnacentral:rRNA from 1 species